UACGUAGGAUGCAAGCGUUGUUCGGAAUUACUGGGCGUAAAGAGUACGUAGGCGGUUUGAUAAGUCUGAUAUUAAAUACAGAAGCUUAACUUCUGAACUGUAUCGGAAACUGCCAGACUAGAGGACAAUAGAGGAAGUGGGAAUUCUCAGUGUAGCGGUGAAAUGCGUAGAUAUUGGGAAGAACACCAGUGGCGAAAGCGCACUUCUGGGUUGUUACUGACGCUGAGGUACGAAAGCGUGGGGAGCAAACGGG
rnacentral:rRNA from 1 species